rnacentral:rRNA from 1 species
GAAGACGACAAGGUAGAUAGGGCCAAGGUGUAAGCAUGGUAACAUGUUCAGCUGAUGGUUACUAAUAGAUCGAAGGCUUAACUAA